rnacentral:rRNA from 1 species
GACAGAGGGUGCAAACGUUGUUCGGAAUUACUGGGCGUAAAGCGCGUGUAGGCGGCUAAGUAAGUCGGGCGUGAAAUCCCACGGCUCAACCGUGGAAGUGCACUCGAAACUGCAGGGCUAGAGUCCUGGAGAGGAAGGUGGAAUGCUUGGUGUAGAGGUGAAAUUCGUAGAUAUCAAGCGGAACACCGGUGGCGAAGGCGGCCUCUGGACAGUGACUGACGCUGAGACGCGAAAGCGUGGGGAGCAAACAGGGAU